ensembl:lncRNA
UGGGGUUGCAUGGAGUGCGUGGGGUUGCAUGGAGCUCUGUAGGGUUGCACUGAGUGCAUGGGGUUGCAUGGAGUGCGUGGGGUUGCAUGGAUUGUGUGGGGUUGCAUGGAGCUCUGUGGGGUUGCAUGGAGUUGUGUGGGGUUGCAUGGAGUGCAUGAGAUAUGUGAGGUUGCACAGAGGUGCAUGGGGUUGCAUGGAGUGCAUGGGGUUGUGUGGGAUUGCAUGAAGUUGCAUGGAGUUGUAUGGGGUUGCAUGGAGUUGUACGGGGUCUCAUGAGGUGCAUGGGGUUGCAUGGGGUUGUGUGAGGUUGCAUGGAGUACAUGAAGUGCAUGGGGUUGCAAGGGUUUGCACGGGGUUGCAAGGAUUUGCAUGGGGUUGCAAGGGUUUGCAUGGGGUUGCAAGGAUUUGCAUGGGGGUGCAAGGCUUUGCAUGGGGUUGCAUGGAGUGCAUGAGGUGCACGGGGUUGCAUGGAGUUGUGAGGGGUUGCACAAAGUUGCAUGAGGUUGCACGGGACUUCACGGGGUUGUGUGGGGUUCAGGAGGGUGCAUGGGGUUGCAUGGGGGAUCCAUGGGGUUCAUUCCAUAGGGGUGCAUGGGGUUCUGUGGGAUUACUUAGGGUCAUGGGGUCGUGGGAUCAUGGAAUCAUGGAGGUAGACUGAUAGGAUCAUGGAUUUGUAGGGGCGCGGGGUCAUAGAAAUGUAGGGUCGUGGAAACAUGGGGUCAUGGGGUCAUAGAAUCAUGGAGGUAGACUCAUAGGAUCAUGGAUUUGUAGGGGCACGGGAUCAUGGAAACUUGGGAUCAUGGAAACAUGGGAUCAUGGGAUCAUAGAAUCAUGGAGGUAGAUCAUAGGAUCAUGGAUUUGUAGGGGCGCAGGAUCAUGGAAACGUGGGGUCAUGGAAACAUGGGGUCAUAGGGUCAUAAAAUCAUGGAGAUAGACUCAUAGGAUCAUGGAUUUGUAGGAGCACGGGAUCAUAGAAACGUGGGGUCAUGGAAACAUGGGGUUAUGGGUUCAUGGGGUCAUGGAAUCAUGGAGGUAGACUCAGAGGAUCAUGGAUUUGUAGGGGCAUGGGAUCAUGGAAACGUAGGGUCAUGGAAACAUGGGGUCAUGGAAACAUGGGAUCAUGGGGUCAUGGGAUCGUAGAAUCAUGGAGGUAGACUCAUAGGAUCAUGGAUUUAUAGGGGCGCGGGGUCAUGGAAACUUGGGGUCAUGGAAACAUGGGGUCAUGGGGUCAUGGGGUCAUAGAAUCAUGGAGGUAGACUCAUAGGAUCAUGGAUUUGUAGGGGCACGGGAUCAUGGAAACGUGGGGUCAUGGGAUCAUGGGGUCAUGGGAUCAUAGAAUCAUGGAGGUAGACUCAUAGGAUCAUGGAUUUGUAGGGGCGCGGGAUCAUGGAAACGUGGGGUCAUGGAAACAUGGGGUCAUGGGGUCAUAGAACUGUGGCAUGGUGGAAUCAUAGGGUCAUGGAUUUGUAGGAUCGUGGAAUCAGAACCAUGGCUCAUGGGCUGGAAGGGACCGUAAAGACAAUAAAGAACCAUAGGGUGGUUGAGUUGGAAGGGUCCUUGAAGAUCAUAGAACCAUAGAAACUCACAAUGGUUGGGUUGGAAGGGUCCUUACAGAUCAUAGAAGUAUAGAAUCCCACAAUGGUUGGGUUGGAAGGGAUCUUAUAGACAAUAUAACAAUAGGAUGGUUGGGUUGGGAGGGUCCUUGAAGGUCACAGAACUAUGUAAGUUCACAAUGGUUGGGUUGGAAGGGUCCUUGAAGAUCAUAGGGCCAUAGAAAUGCACAUUGGUUGGGUUGGAAGGAAUCUUAUAG